GCUCCGUUGGUGAACCAGCGGAGGGAUCAUUACCGAGUGCAAACUCAUAACCCUUUGUGAACCUAUAUCUGUUGCUUCGGCGGCUCGCUCUCGGGCGAGCCCGCCGGUAAUAUCAGUAUCUCUGUUUGAACCCGACGAUACUUCUGAGUGUUCUUAGCGAACAGUUAAAACUUUUAACAACGGAUCUCUUGGCUCUA
rnacentral:misc_RNA from 1 species